UACGGAGGGUGCAAGCGUUAUCCGGAUUCACUGGGGUUAAAGGGCGCGUAGGCGGCCUGCUAAGUCGAACGUGAAAUCCCUGGGCUCAACCCAGGAACUGCGUCCGAUACUGGUUGGCUUGAAUCCGGGAGAGGGAUGUGGAAUUCCAGGUGUAGCGGUGAAAUGCGUAGAUAUCUGGAGGAACACCGGUGGCGAAGGCGACAUCCUGGACCGGUAUUGACGCUGAGGCGCGAAAGCCAGGGGAGCAAACGGG
rnacentral:rRNA from 1 species